AGUGCAGGUGGUUGUAUAAGUCUGAAGUAAAAGGCAGUGGCUCAACCAUUGUGUGCUUUGGAAACUGUACAACUUGAGUGCAGAAGGGGAGAGUGGAAUUCCAUGUGUAGCGGUGAAAUGCGUAGAUAUAUGGAGGAACACCGGUGGCGAAAGCGGCUCUCUGGUCUGUAACUGACACUGAGGCUGAAAGCGUGGGGAGCAAACA
rnacentral:rRNA from 1 species